CGUGUAGGCGGCUCAUCAAGUCUGGUGUGAAAACGCAAGGCUUAACCUUGCAUAGGCGCUGGAAACUGGUGGGCUUGAGUUCUUGAGGGGAAGCUGGAAUUCCAGGUGUAGGGGUGAAAUCUGUAGAUAUCUGGAAGAACACCGGUGGCGAAGGCGAGCUUCUAUCAGAGGACUGACGCUGAGGCGCGAAAGCGUGGGAGCAAACA
rnacentral:rRNA from 1 species